rnacentral:rRNA from 1 species
GACGAACGCUGGCGGCGUGCUUAACACAUGCAAGUCGAACGGAAAGGCCCUGCUUGCAUGGUACUCUCGUGUCGAACGGGUGAGUAACACGUGGGUGUUCUGCCCUGCACUUCGGGAUAAGCCUGGGAAACUGGGUCUAUUACCGGAUAGGAGCCAUUUUUAGUGUGAUGGUUGGAAAGUUUUUUCGGUGUAGGAUGAGCUCGCGGCCUAUCUGCUUGGUGGUGGGGUAAUGGCCUACCAAGGGGGCGACGGGUAGCCGGCCUGGGGGGGUGGACAGCCACAAUGGGACUGGGAAACGGGCCAGGAUCCUUCGGGGAGGAACAGGGGGGAAUAUUGGAAAAUGGGGCGGAGGCUGAAGCAAGGACGGCGGGGGGGGGAUGACGGCCUUCGGGUUGGAAACUCCUUUCGCUAUGGACGGAGCUGUUUGUGACGGUACCUAGAUAAGAAGCACCGGUUAACUACGUG